rnacentral:rRNA from 1 species
GCAAGUCGAACGGGGUAGCAAUACCCAGUGGCAGACGGGUGAGUAACACGUGGUCAACCUACCUCUGUGUGGGGGAUAACUAGCCGAAAGGUUAGCUAAUACCGCAUACGAUCGUUUUGGGGCAUCUCGAGACGAUGAAAGGAGCAAUCCGCACGGAGAGGGGACUGCGUCCCAUUAGUUAGUUGGUGGGGUAACGGCCUACCAAGACUCCGAUGGGUAGCUGGCUUGAGAGAGCGACCAGCCACACUGGAACUGAGACACGGUCCAGACUCCUACGGGAGGCAGCAGUGAGGAAUUUUCCGCAAUGGGCGAAAGCCUGACGGA